UGGGGAAUAUUGCACAAUGGGCGAAAGCCUGAUGCAGCGACGCCGCGUGAGGGAUGACGGCCUUCGGGUUGUAAACCUCUUUCAGCAGGGAAGAAGCGAAAGUGACGGUACCUGCAGAAGGAGCGCCGGCUAACUACGUGCCAGCAGCCGCGGUAAUACGUAGGGCGCAAGCGUUGUCCGGAAUUAUUGGGCGUAAAGAGCUCGUAGGCGGCUUGUCACGUCGGGUGUGAAAGCCCGGGGCUUAACCCCGGGUCUGCAUCCGAUACGGGCAGGCUAGAGUGUGGUAGGGGAGAUCGGAAUUCCUGGCGUAGCGGUGAAAUGCGCAGAUAUCAGGAGGAACACCGGUGGCGAAGGCGGAUCUCUGGGCCAUUACUGACGCUGAGGAGCGAAAGCGUGGGGAGCGAACAGGAUUAGAUACCCUGGUAGUCCACGCCGUAAACGUUGGGAACUAGGUGUUGGCGACAUUCCACGUCGUCGGUGCCGCAGCUAACGCAUUAAGUU
rnacentral:rRNA from 1 species